UUUUCAUUUGAUAAUAAAAUAAGAAGACAUUAAAAAAGUUAACCAAAUAAAAUCACAUUUCAAUUUUCUUAGAAAAUAACCCAUCCCAACUUCUUGCUGCGUUACAAAACAGCGCAUUAGGGUUACCAUCGUUAUCAAAAACAAUUCCGCCGCAUACGAGAGCGAAUUUGGGGAAGUCAUUCAUUCUACAUUUCGCCUCCAGUUAUCACAUAAAGCACAUGAAAUCAGUUGAAUUAGGGCUCAAAUCGUAUGAUUCUAGGUCUCAAAUCGUAUGAUGUGUUUAUAAGAAAGUGUGCUAUUGUGGCAUCGUUGUUCGAUGUGAAUGCCUGUGAUGGAGCUAUGGAUUAGAAGAAGCUGCUUAUUCUAUGGCCACCGGGACUUUGGAUUCGAGUGACGCAAGCUUUUUUUUUCCCUUGUCUAAUCUGGAAUCGCAGGUCGUAGCUUUUCAAAUCAGCUUUAGGUGAGGCACCGAAAGGUGGAUCUAGUGAGGCACUUGUUGCUUGAGCUCUAGGAAUUGAUGGUUUAACCCUUUUGUUGAGGUUGCCAGAAGGUGAAGCACCAAAAGGUUUUGGCUCAGGAAAAGGCUCACUAAUUGUAUAAGGUGUGUGUAUUUUUUUUUAACAUUAUUGUAUAUAGUUGGCAAUUAUUCUUAUAUUACUUUUCUUAUAUUGGGCUUAAGGAUAUCCGAAGGUCGCUUACUUGAAAACUCUCCCAUUGUCGUUUCCAAAGCUUUGAUGGCAAUAGUGUUAAUGGUAAUCUCAGGUGGACCUCAUCCCAAACAACAUCGGGACAUAGAUCCUCUUGUGAUAUCCAACCACUUCAACUUACAGACACCCAUUCUUUUGCCAUAGAUGAUGAACCCUCUUUGAUGGAAAUAAUGUCACUGGUAAUCUCAGGUGGACCCCAUCUCAAACAACAUCGAGACAUGGAUCAUCUUCUUGUCAUGUCAAACCACUUAAGCUUAUGGAUACCCUUUCUCUUACCAUAAAUGAAGAUGAUGACACUCCCCAUCAUACCAGUGAACCUUUUCCUGAGCCACCACUUUCUAUUGCUUUGCCUUCCGGUAACCCCAACAAAAGGGCUAAACCCUCAACUCCCAAAGCUCGAGCUCCUAGUGCCUCACCCGAUUCACCUUUCGGUGCCUCACCUACAUUUUCUAUUAGCGUUUUGACGAUUUAGCACCUGAUAUGUAAAAAGCUCUAUGACAUUUGAUUAAAGGGCUAAUACGAUAUAUAAUUGCUCAAUGUUUAAAGAAGUUAAGAGUUGCUUGAGUUAGGCUUGCUUAUCACAUUUUUGGAGGGACUAUAAAUGUGAGAGAGAUGUGGAUAAAUUUUCCCAAUGAUCCCGAAAUAUUAAGAUGAUGGAUCGAGAUGACUGGUACACAUUUAGUAGUUCUAAAGAACGAAAAGAUUGUCCGAUGAUUUUGUUUGUGUUGGAACCACUGUUGAAGGCUUUUGCUUGUGUUAGAACUAGUGUUUUUUUUUUUUUUUUUUUCUUUUUUUUUUUUUUUUAAAAUUCUUGUGUUGGAACACUUUGAUUAAUGUUAUUAUUAUUAUUUUUUGCCAUUUGAGUUUGGUUAAUGAUAUGUUUUUUGCUAAUUGAAUUUUGGUUGAUGUUAUGUUUUAAACUUCUAUUUUUGUUGAUUAAUAGGUUCAUAAUGAAUCAUGAUCAAAAUAUACUUCUUGUAAUUCCAAUCUACUUUUAUUUCCGUUAUUUUUUUAUGACGGGUGUGAAAUGAGUGCGAGACAAUUACUUGAAAAUGACGGGACAUGAAUACAUGUUAGAGUUAUUGGAACGUAAUCCUCCACAAUGUGUAGUACUACACAUGUUACGUGAAUCUUUUGUCCAAGUAUGUUGUUAACAUGUAUCGAUUGAUGUAAAGAUUGCUUUGUUUUUUAUGAUAAUUGGUCAUAAUUAAUUUUACGUGAUUAUCAAACGGAGUUUUCAACAUUCAAAGCAAACAAUUCAUAAUUUUUUUCAUGAAAUGUUGGACAAAAUAAUGCUAUGUAUAAAAGACAUUAUAGUACCAACUUUUUUUAAUGUGAAUCCAAACAUUUCUAGACAUGAUAAGAAGAUGACUGAUUUUCAAAUGAGCUAUUGGUGCACUUGAUGACACUAUGAUCCAUUUUAUCCCUGUUAAGAACAAGAUUUAUAGAGAUAGGGGAAAAGACGAUUGUUAUCAAAAUGUAUUGAUAGUUUGUCACUUCAACAUGAUUUUUACGUUUAUUGUGGCCGAUUGGGAAGGACUAACACAUGAUUCUACAAUAUUAUCAUAAGCAUUAGCAAAUCCACAUGUAUUAUUUUUGUUUCCACUACCACCCAAGUUUAUGGUUUCUUAAAUACUUUUAUCUUAGUUAAAAAACUGAUUAUUAUUUUUUUCUUUUUACCGAAAAAUAUUAUCUUUGUGAUGUCACGUAUGCUUACAUUCGGGGAUUUAUGGUCCCGUAUCGUAAUGUGAUGUAUUGGCUUGAAGAUUUUCGUCAAAGAUGUACAUUAACCAAUAAAGUAAAAUUUAACUAUGCACAUGCAAAACUUCGGUACAUCAUCGAGCGUGUUUUUGGUGUCUUGAAAGCAUGAUUCCCUGUACCGAUUGAUGAGUAUUUUGCACCAUAGUGUCUUGUUUUGAAAUGUGUUCGUUGAUGAUGAUGAAGACAAGGUUCCAACACAUGGAAUGAGUUAUUAUAAAAAGAAAAAUUUUGUUGUUGAAAAACUUAAGGUGUACGUCGACACACGUUCUUUAAAACCAUGAAUACUUUAAGCAUUAAUGAUCAACUCUUAUUUGCAACUUUUCAUAGUUAGACAUCUAGACAUGACUCACCGUUACACUACUAAUUAAAAAUGGUUUAAUUACAUAUAUGGUUAAAAGAACAACUAAUAACUUCUGGUGUUACUAAAUAAAGAUUAUACUUCUCAUAACAUUCACAUAAAGAAAAGUCGAUGAUGUAAGUUUUCAAUGAAAAAUCCUUUUGCUUAAGCAUUUAAUGCAUAAUGUUUGUAGUUUUGGUAAUUUAUGCUAAAUAACAAUGUAAUUAGAUUAUUGGCAACAUAUAUUAAGUUUGAUCCAAAAUAGCAUUCAACUUGCAUUUUUUUUUUUAUCGUUUAUGGCAACAUGAAACCCUCAUAAAAUAAUAUGUAAUAACUAGACAACGUGACACCUAACAGCUAACACAUAUACUAGGUUAUAUUUCGGCUCCUUAUACUUUUACCGGUGAAUGUUUAUAUACCUGAGUCCCAAAUCAUUUGCACAAUUUCAUGAGAAGAGGGAGCUACUUUAUUAGUUUCAUAACUUGAGAACACAUUCUCUUUGGGCUUUUUUUCCUAGUAUAUGUUCAUAAACUGGAGUCUUUUAUGUUAUUUCCUAAUAUGGGUUUGUAGAAAAUUCCAACUAAGUGCAAACAACUUACUCAACACUACAAAUAAUAUGUUAAUAACCAAUAUGAAGUUGACUAGAAAGUUGAUGACCAAUAUAGUGCUCCUGAAUAUAAAGUUAGUUGCUCAGAUAGGGACAUCAUAUGUGGUGAAUAGGACUUGAAAGUGGAUAGUGGUGCCUUACUUUCAGCCUUUCAGGCCGUCUCUUUAUUUUCUAGUCGGUAUUUAUUAAUAAUUGUUAGUAUACAUAUAUGGUUACUUCUUCAUAUGUAGAUGUGAAUGUAUUGUAUACUAAGCCUCCAAAAGAUAAGGAGGUCGGGUCUUAUAAAGAGCAAUAAUUUUAUCUUUUUGAGUAAGAGUCACCACCACUUACAGCCCCUCACCUACUUAUUAACCCAUAUUUGUUUUGCAACCAUUCAAAAAACAUGAACCCAUGAAGAACCACUCAUGGUCUAAUUCUUUUUAUCAUAUCACUUCAAGAAGCGAGGGCUAUGGGGACGACACAUAUUGUUCAUAUACACCGUCAUCAUAACUUCAUGGCCAUGGCGUCUUUUGUUGUCGACAUGUCAUAGUCGUAUGUAAAUUUUUAGGGAUGGCAUAUCAUCGUGAUAGUUUUGUCGCUAUAUCUUUUUAAGAAAUAAAAAAGACAGAUAUGUAUUGACGACGUGUUGCUAUAGAUUCAACUAUAGUGACGACAUGUUAUGGCUAUAUGUUGACCUUUGGUGACGACAUGUCAUGCUUGUAGGACAACCUAUAGCCACAACAUGUCGUCACAUCUUGUCGUCACUAUAGUCAUUGUACAAAUGUAUUUUUUGAUCCUCUUUUUUGUGCAUUUUACCUGGUUUUUCAAACGCAUUCCAAAGUAAAAUUAAUAACAAAAAACUUUAACAUAUUAUAAAAACUCAGUUUAGUUAUAAUACAAAUUUUAUACAAGUGGUUUAUCAAGUCAGUUAAAAUAUCUUGGGAAAUUGUUUUAAACUUUCAUAAAAUGUAACCAUACUACCUAAUUUAAUUGUCUUCGUCAAAACU